rfam:Anolis carolinensis chromosome 6, whole genome shotgun sequence.
AGAAAGGUUUUUUUAAAAACCCACCCACAGCUAAAACAGUACUAAGU